rnacentral:rRNA from 1 species
UGAUGGUUAGCGGCGGACGGGUGAGUAACACGUAGGUAACCUGCCCAUAAGACUGGGAUAACCCACGGAAACGUGAGCUAAUACCAGAUAGGCAUUUUCCUCGCAUGAGGGAGAUGAGAAAGGCGGAGCAAUCUGCCACUUAUGGAUGGACCUGCGGCGCAUUAGCUAGUUGGUAAGGUAACGGCUUACCAAGGCGACGAUGCGUAGCCGACCUGAGAGGGUGAUCGGCCACACUGGGACUGAGACACGGCCCAGACUCCUACGGGAGGCAGCAGUAGGGAAUCUUCCGCAAUGGACGAAAGUCUGACGGAGCAACGCCGCGUGAGUGAUGAAGGUUUUCGGAUCGUAAAGCUCUGUUGCCAGGGAAGAACGCCUAGGAGAGUAACUGCUCUUAGGGUGACGGUACCUGAGAAGAAAGCCCCGGCUAACUACGUGCCAGCAGCCGCGGUAAUACGUAGGGGGCGAGCGUUGUCCGGAAUUAUUGGGCGUAAAGCGCGCGCAGGCGGCAAUGUAAGUUGGGUGUUUAAACCUAGGGCUCAACCUUGGGUCGCAUCCAAAACUGCAUAGCUUGAGUACAGAAGAGGAAAGUGGAAUUCCACGUGUAGCGGUGAAAUGCGUAGAUAUGUGGAGGAACACCAGUGGCGAAGGCGACUUUCUGGGCUGUAACUGACGCUGAGGCG